ACGAUGAACCACUUCGGUGGGGAUUAGUGGCGAACGGGUGAGUAACACGUGGGCAAUCUGCCCUUCACUCUGGGACAAGCCCUGGAAACGGGGUCUAAUACCGGAUGAUACUUCCACUCGCAUGGGUGGGGGUUGAAAGCUCCGGCGGUGAAGGAUGAGCCCGCGGCCUAUCAGCUUGUUGGUGAGGUAGUGGCUCACCAAGGCGACGACGGGUAGCCGGCCUGAGAGGGCGACCGGCCACACUGGGACUGAGACACGGCCCAGACUCCUACGGGAGGCAGCAGUGGGGAAUAUUGCACAAUGGGCGAAAGCCUGAUGCAGCGACGCCGCGUGAGGGAUGACGGCCUUCGGGUUGUAAACCUCUUUCAGCAGGGAAGAAGCGAAAGUGACGGUACCUGCAGAAGAAGCGCCGGCUAACUACGUGCCAGCAGCCGCGGUAAUACGUAGGGCGCAAGCGUUGUCCGGAAUUAUUGGGCGUAAAGAGCUCGUAGGCGGUCUGUCGCGUCGGAUGUGAAAGCCCGGGGCUUAACCCCGGGUCUGCAUUCGAUACGGGCAGACUAGAGUGUGGUAGGGGAGAUCGGAAUUCCUGGUGUAGCGGUGAAAUGCGCAGAUAUCAGGAGGAACACCGGUGGCGAAGGCGGAUCUCUGGGCCAUUACUGACGCUGAGGAGCGAAAGCGUGGGGAGCGAACAGGAUUAGAUACCCUGGUAG
rnacentral:rRNA from 1 species